rnacentral:rRNA from 1 species
GACAGAGGGGGCAAGCGUUGCUCGGAAUUACUGGGCGUAAAGGGCGCGUAGGCGGUAUGGCAAGUCGGUCGUGAAAUCCCUCGGCUCAACCGAGGAACGUCGAUCGAUACUGCUGUUCUUGAGGAUUGCAGAGGAGACUGGAAUUCCCGGUGUAGCGGUGAAAUGUGUAGAGAUCGGGAGGAACACCGGUGGCGAAGGCGGGUCUCUGGGCAAUUCCUGACGCUGAGGCGCGAAAGCGUGGGGAGCAAACAGG